UGGGGAAUUUUGGACAAUGGGGGAAACCCUGAUCCAGCCAUCCCGCGUGUGCGAUGAAGGCCUUCGGGUUGUAAAGCACUUUUUGGCAGGAAAGAAACGUCGCGGGUUAAUACCCCGCGAAACUGACGGUACCUGCAGAAUAAGCACCGGCUAACUACGUGCCAGCAGCCGCGGUAAUACGUAGGGUGCAAGCGUUAAUCCGGAAUUACUGGGCGUAAAGCGUGCGCAGGCGGUUCGGAAAGAAAGAUGUGAAAUCCCAGAGCUUAACUUUGGAACUGCAUUUUUAACUACCGGGCUAGAGUGUGUCAGAGGGAGGUGGAAUUCCGCGUGUAGCAGUGAAAUGCGUAGAUAUGCGGAGGAACACCGAUGGCGAAGGCAGCCUCCUGGGAUAACACUGACGCUCAUGCACGAAAGCGUGGGGAGCAAACAGGAUUAGAUACCCUGGUAGUCCACGCCCUAAACGAUGUCAACUAGCUGUUGGGGCCUUCGGGCCUUGGUAGCGCAGCUAACGCGUGAAGUUGACCGCCUGGGGAGUACGGUCGC
rnacentral:rRNA from 1 species